rnacentral:rRNA from 1 species
AGCAUAUCAAUAAGCGGAGGAAAAGAAACCAACAGGGAUUGCCCUAGUAACGGCGAGUGAAGCGGCAAUAGCUCAAAUUUGAAAGCUGGCCUUCUGGUCCGCAUUGUAAUUUGUAGAGGAUGCUUUUAGGCAGCCGCCGGUCUAAGUUCCUUGGAACAGGACGUCAUAGAGGGUGAGAAUCCCGUAUGUGACCGGCUCUGGCACCUUAUGUAAAGCUCCUUCGACGAGUCGAGUUGUUUGGGAAUGCAGCUCUAAAUGGGAGGUAAAUUUCUUCUAAAGCUAAAUACUGGCGAGAGACCGAUAGCGCACAAGUAGAGUGAUCGAAAGAUGAAAAGCACUUUGGAAAGAGAGUUAAAAAGCACGUGAAAUUGUUGAAAGGGAAGCGCUUGCAAUCAGACUUGGACUUGGCUGUUCAACCGGUCUUCUGACCGGCCUACUCAGUCUUGUCCAGGCCAGCAUCAGUUUCGGCGGCCGGAUAAAGGCCCUGGGAAUGUAGCUGUCCCCUCGGGGACAGUGUUAUAGCCCAGGGUGUAAUACGGCCAGCCGGGACUGAGGUCCGCGCUUCGGCUAGGAUGCUGGCGUAAUGGUUGUAAGCGGCCCGUCUUGAAACACGGACCAAGGAGUCUAACAUCUAUGCGAGUGUUAGGGUGUCAAACCCUUACGCGUAAUGAAAGUGAACGGAGGUGGGAACCCGCAAGGGUGCACCAUCGACCGAUCCUGAUGUCUUCGGAUGGAUUUGAGUAAGAGCAUAGCUGUUGGGACCCGAAAGAUGGUGAACUAUGCCUGAAUAGGGUGAAGCCAGAGGAAACUCUGGUGGAGGCUCGCAGCGGUUCUGACGUGCAAAUCGAUCGUCAAAUUUGGGUAUAGGGGCGAAAGACUAAUCGAACCAUCUAGUAGCUGGUUCCUGC